AACCGAGAACUCCUACGGGAGGCAGCAGUGGGGAAUUUUGGACAAUGGGCGAAAGCCUGAUCCAGCCAUACCGCGUGCGGGAUGAAGGCCUUCGGGUUGUAAACCGCUUUUGUCAGGGAAGAAAUGCUUCGGGCUAAUACCCUGGGGUGAUGACGGUACCUGAAGAAUAAGCACCGGCUAACUACGUGCCAGCAGCCGCGGUAAUACGUAGGGUGCAAGCGUUAAUCGGAAUUACUGGGCGUAAAGCGUGCGCAGGCGGUUCUAUAAGACAGAUGUGAAAUCCCCGGGCUCAACCUGGGAACUGCAUUUGUGACUGUAGAGCUAGAGUACGGUAGAGGGGGAUGGAAUUCCGCGUGUAGCAGUGAAAUACGUAGAUAUGCGGAGGAACACCGAUGGCGAAGGCAAUCCCCUGGACCUGUACUGACGCUCAUGCACGAAAGCGUGGGGAGCAAACAGGAUUAGAAACCCGAGUAGUCCGACUGAGA
rnacentral:rRNA from 1 species